GACGAACGCUGGCGGCGUGCCUAAUACAUGCAAGUCGAGCGGACGAAUCGAAAGCUUGCUUUUGAUUCGUUAGCGGCGGACGGGUGAGUAACACGUGGGCAACCUGCCCUGUAGACGGGGAUAACACCGAGAAAUCGGUGCUAAUACCGGAUAACACGAAAUGUCGCAUGACGUUUCGUUGAAAGACGGCGCAAGCUGUCGCUACAGGAUGGGCCCGCGGCGCAUUAGCUAGUUGGUGAGGUAACGGCUCACCAAGGCGACGAUGCGUAGCCGACCUGAGAGGGUGGUCGGCCACACUGGGACUGAGACACGGCCCAGACUCCUACGGGAGGCAGCAGUAGGGAAUCUUCCGCAAUGGACGAAAGUCUGACGGAGCAACGCCGCGUGAGCGAAGAAGGCCUUCGGGUCGUAAAGCUCUGUUGUUAGGGAAGAACAAGUAACGCAGUAACUGGCGUUACCGUGACGGUACCUAACGAGAAAGCCACGGCUAACUACGUG
rnacentral:rRNA from 1 species